rnacentral:rRNA from 1 species
UAAGUUGGUAGUGAAAGCGUUCGGCUCAACCGGAUACACAUUACCAAAACUGCUUUAGCUAGAGGAUGAGAGAGGUUAUUGGAAUUCCCUGUGUAGGAGUGAAAUCCGUAGAUAUAGGGAGGAACACCGGAUGGCGUAGGCAGAUAACUGGCUCAUUCCUGACACUAAGGCACGAAAGCGUGGGGAGCAAACGGGAUUAGAUACCCCGGUAGUCCACGCCGUAAACUAUGGAUGCUA